AAUACACUGUCUAGGUUUAUCAUAGCUUUCCUUCCAAGGAGCAAGCAUCUCUCAUGGCUGCAGUCAUGUCAACAGUGAUUUUGGACCCAAGAAAAGAAACUGUCACUGCUUCCACUUUUCCCCCUUCUAUUUGCCAUGAAGUGAUGGGGCUGGCUACCAUGUUUUUGAAUGCUGUUUUAAGCCAGCUUUCUCACUUUCCUCUUUCACCCUCAUCAAGAGGCUUGGGAAGAGGUUAACCCAGCUGGGAGGAAACAAGGCCCACUUUUCAGAAGCUGGGGCUCUGGCCAGUGUUUUUCAAACUGAGGCUGGGACCCCUCAUCAGUGGGUUAAGACCAAGAUUAAAAAAGAAGCGCAUGGUGAAGGGCUUCCCUCCGAGGAACCUCAUUCUGGUUCCCCACCCUCCACACAUGCCCCCGAAGGGUCGACCUUGGGGAGGAGCCCAGUGGCCCAUUUCCAGUUCAACCUUUGGGCUGAGGCACUGAUGGCUGGUGUGGGCAGAGGCGGGGGCUCUGCUUCCAUUUCCCCUCGGGCAGGAACAGCCGUUUCUGGAGUUUCAGGAACACUCCGCCACUUGCUGGCUGGGACAGAAGGCUACUCCUCAAAGGGGCCGAUCUGCGUCUCACUACUUGUCACCCAUGGGGCUUCCAAGGCCUUGAUCUGCUUUUGAAGCCACAGGAAAUGCCCCAUUUCCUUCUCUGCGGCCUCCAGUGUCCUCCUCUCUCACUCCUGGUCUCUCCUGGCCGUGUGGCUCCAUGUCUCCCACCUGGUUAACUCACCUUUGUCCCAGUGGCCUCAGGGCCCCAUGGCCUUUCCCGAGUCCCUCAGCCGAGGACAAACCCAGAGUGGGCGCCUCAUGGUCCUGCCAACCUCUGUCCUGUGCUCCUUGCGGCUGGCUCCUCCUUAUCAUGGUCAGGGCCCGGCGGCCUUUGCCCAUGCCCGCAUCUCAGGGCCCAGCACUGUCCGGCUUGCCCCUGCCCCCAGCGCUUGCCCAUUUCUACUGCGUCUCAGGGCCCAGCACUGUCUGGCCUGCCCCUGCUCCCAGCGCCUGCCUGUUUCUACUGCGUCUCAGGGCCCAGCACUGUCCGGCCUGCCCCUGCUCCCAGCGCCUGCCUGUUUCUACUGCGUCUCGGGGCCCAGCACUGUCCGGCCUGCCCCUGCCCCCAGCGCUCGCCUGUUUCUACUGCGUCUCAGGGCCCAGCACUGCCCGGCCUGCCCCUGCCCCCAGCGCUUGCCCGUUUCUACUGCUGCAGGAUAUGCUGCUGCUGGCAUGGUGUGCCCAGGGCAGAGUGCGCCUUCCUGUGAUUCCCAGCCUUGGCACAGUGGGCGUGCACGUGUGUGUACAUGCACACAUGCCCUGCGUGUGUUAAUGACAGCAUUCUGGGGCGGUGAGUGAUGCUGGGCCCGCGAUAAACUGAGCGAAAUGUGCUCAAGCUAGGCCUCUGGGCUCUGGGUGAGUUUAAUCCGCUCUCCAGGUUUAGGACUGGGUGCUGCCAAACUUCUGAUGACUGUCUAGUAACCAAAACUGCCCUUGGCUUAAAUUCUGUCCUCGACAGUAUUAGUCAGCUCCCUCAAACGGAUAUCAUCCCCAUCUGAUUAGCAAAUGAACAAGUCACUCAAGGUAAACGCCAAGCAAACAAGAUCAGAGGUGAGCCCAGAACUCACCAGAGCCCACCCCUUUCUACCUAGGUGGCUUAGUCAACAAUCUUUUUGCAUUUUCACCAGUUUCAGACUCAGUGUUAUUAUCCGUUGCGAUGUCAUCAACAUCCCUCUCGAGGGGAUGAGAGGCGCACGUGUCUUGGCGGCAUCCUGUGUCAACAGGAGAGUGGUGUGGGGCCUUCAGACCACAAGGCCCUUUUCCUCCACGAGUGUCUGCUCCAUUAUCUGUCUCAGGCUCCUGCCAGACGUGACAUGUCCGUUCUCAGGAUCCACACUUUUCCCUUUUCCUUGGGGGGCCUUUCACACUUAAUGUCACUAGGUGAGAAAGGCCACAGGAAGUGUGCUGGACGUGUGGUCAACAGGGCACAGCCAUCUCACUGGUGCAGGUAGCCCUACCGGGCUAUUUCCACUCCUGGAUCGACAUAACCUUUCACAAUGCUUAUUCCCGUGACUUCCGGUUAAGGACCACGAUCUUUAGUGGAGUGAACAUGGCCCAGUGAGGAGGUGGGCAGCACCCUCUCUGCCGUGUCCCUUACCCAUGGACACACACCACGGGGCCGACGAUUUGGCCGUUUUCAAUGACGGGGAACAAACGCGUGUCACGCUGUCACCUCUAGGACUUAAGGCCUGGCUGCUUCUUCACACCCAGCGACAGGAACAAAUUCAUCUGUUCGGCAAAUCACGAUUCAUAACCUGGAGCUGGUGACGCAAGAGCCUCGUCUGGCACUGGCACUGGGCGGAGGCACUGACUACAGCUUCCAUCUGCUGGAGGUUCCUGUCCAGCGACUCUGAAUCUGGUUUGGAAUCGAGGAGAUGCUGAGCACAGGCCGCCCCCUACACAGAGCAGAGCACGCGCGGCACUGGGGCCAGAGGGAAAGCGGCUAGGGUCUGGGGUGGGCCGGGCUGUGUCCAAGGUGGCGAAGUCCUGGUGAGGAGAGACCUAUUCUGUGCAUGCCAGGCUGCCUCCGAGGUCGUUCUCUCCCAGACACCGUCGACCACAUGUGCUGUCACCGGUUUUGACAGCCAAGCUGGGUUUUUCGCAGGUCUCCACGGCUCUGUGCAGGCCACGGCUGGCUGGCCAUCACAGCCCCUUGCCUAAAGCUGGCUCUGGGGUCUUUUGGAUUUCUUGGGGGGUGAGGAGACGAGUGUGAUUAGAGAAUUUGCACUGCUGAAUGACCUGGUACUCUGACCAGAGGAGANNNNNNNNNNNNNNNNNNNNNNNNNNNNNNNNNNNNNNNNNNNNNNNNNNNNNNNNNNNNNNNNNNNNNNNNNNNNNNNNNNNNNNNNNNNNNNNNNNNGAGAAUUUGCACUGCUGAAUGACCUGGUACUCUGACCAGAGGAGAAAGCUCAGAAAGUAGAAAUCAGGUUAGCAGUAUUUAAAAACUGAACAACAUGAGGAAAGGGCACUUGUGGGUCUCCUUUAGUUUCCCAAACUACAAACACCUACAGAAAAAUGAAACGGCAAGCUCGGGGUGGGUAUGAGGAAAAUAAUCAGAGGACCAGAAGGAGGACACUGAAGGGUUCCCACGGGGUCCCCAUAACCCCACAGCAGACAGUGCCGGCUGGGGCACCCAUGGCCACACAGUCAGUGCCUCCUGCUGCUGCCCAUCCUCAGGGGCCCAGGUCUCAGCAGAUGGCGCAGCCCUGGGGUGGACGCUGAGAACCAUCAUCACGGUUCUGCUUGUUAACCGGCGCCUGACUUGCACAGACCUCGAGCGUUUCGCAACCGUCCGGGUGUGAAGGCCGACUUAGCCUGUGACGCAGGGACUCCCGUGCUCAGCAGUGGCGAGAGAUGGCCGAGGCCACACAGGCCUGUGGUUGGGUGAGCGAGACUCUCUAGAGAGUCGGGCAGGACUCUCUAGAGGCUCAUGAUUCCUCAAAGUAAAACCACAGGGGAGCCAGCAGCUGUGAGAGAGGCUCCACAGCCCCGGGGUUUGGGAGGCGAGGACCCCGCUGGGUGUCAGAGGGGCUCCACGGAGUCACCGUGUGACCCCAGGCCAGGAACUAGGGCACCAGGCUCCCAGCUCCUUGCCACUUUGGGGUAAGAGAGACGGGUGCAAAAGGCCUGGGACAGUGGCCGGCAGCUGGCAGGCGCUNNNNNNNNNNNNNNNNNNNNNNNNNNNNNNNNNNNNNNNNNNNNNNNNNNNNNNNNNNNNNNNNNNNNNNNNNNNNNNNNAGGUGACAGAACUGCCCUUGGGUUUUGUUUUCGGCACUCACUUGAACUGCUUCCACUUCGCUAGUUUUAUAUCCUUUGUUGGUCAAAGAACUGGUGUGUCUUUCGCGAGAUCAAAGGCAGGCUCAUUUUCAGAGGUGCCACGGCAAGCUUGGCGUGGCUGGAGGGAGGUCCCGGAGCAGAAGGGCCACCCCCUGAACCCUGAGUCACUGCCAUCCACAGAGAGGCUCACAUUCUGAGAUUCCACCCCAGGUCCACAGCCGAGCACUCC
rnacentral:lncRNA from 1 species